AGAGUUUGAUCCUGGCUCAGGAUGAACGCUAGCGGCAGGCCUAACACAUGCAAGUCGAGGGGCAGCGCGGUGUAGCAAUACACUGGCGGCGACCGGCGGAAGGGUGCGUAACGCGUGAGCAACAUGCCCGUAUCUGGGGGAUAGGAGAUGGAAACGUCUUAUAAUACCCCAUAACAACAGAGAUUGCAUGAUCUUUGUUUGAAAGAUUCAUUGGAUACGGAUUGGCUCGCGUGACAUUAGCUAGUCGGCGGGGUAACGGCCCACCGAGGCGACGAUGUCUAGGGGUUCUGAGAGGAAGGUCCCCCACACUGGAACUGAGACACGGUCCAGACUCCUACGGGAGGCAGCAGUGAGGAAUAUUGGUCAAUGGGCGGAAGCCUGAACCAGCCAUGCCGCGUGCAGGAAUAAGGCCCUAUGGGUCGUAAACUGCUUUUGACGGGGAGCAAUAAGGGUCUCGCGAGGCCCGAUGAGAGUACUCGUCGAAUAAGCAUCGGCUAACUCCGUGCCAGCAGCCGCGGUAAUACGGAGGAUGCAAGCGUUAUCCGGAUUUAUUGGGUUUAAAGGGUGCGUAGGCGGAGGAGUAAGUCAGGGGUGAAAUGCCGCAGCUCAACUGCGGAACUGCCUUUGAUACUGCUUUUCUGGAGUCCGGAUGCCGUGGGAGGAAUGGGCAGUGUAGCGGUGAAAUGCAUAGAUAUUGCCCAGAACACCGAUUGCGAAGGCAUCUCACGAAUCCGGGACUGACGCUGAGGCACGAAAGCGUGGGGAUCAAACAGGAUUAGAUACCCUGGUAGUCCACGCAGUAAACGAUGAUAACUAACCGUCGGCGAUAGACAGUCGGUGGCCAAGCGAAAGCGAUAAGUUAUCCACCUGGGGAGUACGUUCGCAAGAAUGAAACUCAAAGGAAUUGACGGGGGCCCGCACAAGCGGAGGAACAUGUGGUUUAAUUCGAUGAUACGCGAGGAACCUUACCCGGGCUUGAACUGCAGGAGAACGAUCCAGAGAUGGUGAGGCCCUUCGGGGCUCCUGUGGAGGUGCUGCAUGGUUGUCAUCAGCUCGUGCCGUGAGGUGUCGGCUUAAGUGCCAUAACGAGCGCAACCCCUUUCGCCAGUUGCCAUCAGGUGAUGCUGGGCACUCCGGCGACACUGCCACCGUAAGGUGUGAGGAAGGUGGGGAUGACGUCAAAUCAGCACGGCCCUUACGUCCGGGGCUACACACGUGUUACAAUGGGUGGUACAGAGAGUCAGCGGCCGGCAACGUCCGCUCAAUCAAGAAAGCCAUCCUCAGUUCGGAUUGGGGUCUGCAACCCGACCCCAUGAAGCUGGAUUCGCUAGUAAUCGCGCAUCAGCCAUGGCGCGGUGAAUACGUUCCCGGGCCUUGUACACACCGCCCGUCAAGCCAUGAAAGCCGGGGGCGCCUGAAGUCCGUGACCGCGAGGGUCGGCCUAGGGUGAAACCGGUGAUUGGGGCUAAGUCGUAACAAGGUAACCGUA
rnacentral:rRNA from 1 species